AUCGUAGAAUGGCGUGGUUAUAUUUAUCUGCUCUUUGACUAAAAUGUUUAGCUGUAUUAUUGCUAAACAUGCCGUUUUUGAGAAUUUGAUUUUCAACUAGGUUGAGGCAUCCAACCACGCCAUCAAUCACAGCAAAAACAUUAGGUCACGUCAGCGAGUUUCCUAUCCAUUUAUUUUAUUAUCCAUGGUAUUAUUUAUUCGUUAAUAUUACAAGGUUUGAUCAGUAUUCCGUGAUUUUAUUUUGUUGUUUUUGCGGAGGAAAUCGGGAAAACCCCCAGUUAGAAUCUAUUUUUAUAGUCUGCGCGUGCGCAGUGCGUAGUGCGUGUUUGGUUGAGUUGCGCAUGCGUAUUCGCUACCAAGAUAAUGGCGGUUCGAAUAUUUCGAAGCGCGAAAAUAUCAAAAUUUGGAGGGAUUUUUCUCCCAAUUGUGCACCUGUUUCACUUGGGGAACAACGGAUUCUGAUAAAGUAAGUUUUUAUCUAUUUAUUCAUGUGAAAAUUACGUAGUUCCACGAGGGGUGCAACGGAAUUGCAUCUUUUGGAUGCUCAUCCUACGGCCUAGAUGUGAUUGCUCAUAUGAAGAGCUUAAAAUAAUUAUAACUUAUUAACUUGUAGGACAGUGGUGCCAAAAAAUUUUAUUGUCACAUUUGAAAGAACGUUUAAAAUUAUCUAUAAAAUCUUGUUACAGAUUAUUCCAAUCUUGUUGAUCUUCAAAUAGUUUAACCGAAAACAAUGAGCUGUCCGCUAUCUUGGAUUAAUCCAUAAACUCAUUAACUAUCGUUUUGGCGACGUCAGGAAUGGGGUUAACCUUACUUCUAAGUUGCUGAGUAACAAUGAAAAGUUGUUUACUUUAUGUUUUAUUCAAUUCGAAAUUUGAAAUAGCAACCAAAAGUGAUUUGCAGGUCCAUAUUGAUCACUGGCUGUUCAAGUAAAAAAACUUGCGUGAGCCCGCUUUGACGUAUCAUGCAUUGAUCCAGUUCACUGGUAUAUCUUCAAUAAUUCAAGAUUUUCAGGAGUUAUUAUAAGCACUUAAGCUUGAUAUGAAAAAUCUGUAACAACAUUUUAGAGAUCAUUAUAAACCUUCUUUAGUGAGAAAAUAAUUUUUUUGGUUGUCUUUAACUUUUAUACGAGAUAACUUAUUCGUAAGAAAUACAUUCAUAAACUUUAAUAGAUUUAUUUAUAGAUUAACAUAGAGAUAUGUUGUCGGAGCGAAAACGAACAGUUGACAAACUAACGCCAUUUUGGCGACAUAAAGUACAUUAAUUAGACGGAAAAUAAGGCGGAAAACACAUGGCCGCGUUGAAGUUGUU